UAUACAUGCAGUCGACGGUAACAGGCAUCGGUGAUCCCUUCGGGGUGAUCCUGGCGCUGACGAGUGGCGAACGGGUGAGUAAUGCUUGGGAAUCUGCCCUGUAGUGGGGGACAACCCGAGGAAACUCGGGCUAAUACCGCGUAAGCUCCACGGAGGAAAGCGGGGGAUCUUCGGACCUCGCGCUAUAGGAUGAGCCCAAGUCGGAUUAGCUUGUUGGUGGGGUAAUGGCCUACCAAGGCGACGAUCCGUAGCUGGUCUGAGAGGACGAUCAGCCACACUGGGACUGAGACACGGCCCAGACUCCUACGGGAGGCAGCAGUAGGGAAUAUUGGACAAUGGGCGCAAGCCUGAUCCAGCAAUGCCGCGUGUGUGAAGAAGGCCUGCGGGUUGUAAAGCACUUUCAGUGGGGAAGACAAACUUGAGGUUAAUACCCUCGAGUCUCGACGUUACCCACAGAAGAAGCACCGGCCAACUCCGUGCCAGCAGCCGCGGUAAUACGGAGGGUGCGAGCGUUAAUCGGAAUUACUGGGCGUAAAGCGCACGCAGGUGGCUGGGUCAGUCGGUUGUGAAAUCCCCGGGCUUAACCUGGGAAUUGCGAUCGAAACUGCCCGGCUAGAGUAUGGGAGAGGGAAGUGGAAUUCCCGGUGUAGCGGUGAAAUGCAUAGAUAUCGGGAGGAACACCAGUGGCGAAAGCGGCUUCCUGGCCCAAUACUGACACUCAGUGCGAAAGCGUGGGGAGCAAACAGGAUUAGAUACCCUGGUAGUCCACGCCGUAACGAUGAGACUAGAUGUCGGGGGA
rnacentral:rRNA from 1 species